rnacentral:rRNA from 1 species
GAUGAACGCUAGCUACAGGCUUAACACAUGCAAGUCGAGGGGAAACGGCAUUGAGUGCUUGCACUCUUUGGACGUCGACCGGCGCACGGGUGAGUAACGCGUAUCCAACCUUCCCAUUACUGUGGGAUAACCUGCCGAAAGGCAGACUAAUACCGCAUAGUCUUCGAUGACGGCAUCAGAUUUGAAGUAAAGAUUUAUCGGUAAUGGAUGGGGAUGCGUCUGAUUAGCUUGUUGGUGGGGUAACGGCCCACCAAGGCAACGAUCAGUAGGGGUUCUGAGAGGAAGGUCCCCCACAUUGGAACUGAGACACGGUCCAAACUCCUACGGGAGGCAGCAGUGAGGAACAUUGGUCAAUGGACGGAAGUCUGAACCAGCCAAGUAGCGUGCAGGAUGACGGCCCUAUGGGUUGUAAACUGCUUUUGUAUGGGGAUAAAGUUAGGGACGUGUCCCUAUUUGCAGGUACCAUACGAAUAAGGACCGGCUAAUUCCGUGCCAGCAGCCGCGGUAAUACGGAAGGUCCAGGCGUUAUCCGGAUUUAUUGGGUUUAAAGGGAGCGUAGGCUGGAGAUUAAGUGUGUUGUGAAAUGUAGACGCUCAACGUCUGAAUUGCAGCGCAUACUGGUUUCCUUGAGUACGCACAACGUUGGCGGAAUUCGUCGUGUAGCGGUGAAAUGCUUAGAUAUGACGAAGAACUCCGAUUGCGAAGGCAGCUGACGGGAGCGCAACUGACGCUUAAGCUCGAAGGUGCGGGUAUCAAACAGG